rnacentral:rRNA from 1 species
GAUGAACGCUGGCGGCGUGCCUAAUACAUGCAAGUCGAACGAAACUUCUUUAUCACCGAGUGCUUGCACUCACCGAUAAAGAGUUGAGUGGCGAACGGGUGCGUAACACGUGGGCAACCUGCCCCAAAGAGGGGGAUAACACUUGGACACAGGUGCUAAUACCGCAUAACCAUAGUUACCGCAUGGUAACUAUGUCAAAGGUGGCUAUACUACCGCUUUUGGAUGGGCCCGCGGCGCAUUAGCUAGUUGGUAGGGUAAAGGCUUACCAAGGCAAUGAUGCGUAGCCGAAUUGAGAGGUUGAUCGGCCACAUUGGGACUGAGACACGGCCCAAACUCCUACGGGAGGCAGCAGUAGGGAAUCUUCCACAAUGGGCGAAAGCCUGAUGGAGCAACGCCGCGUGGGUGAAGAAGGUCUUCGGAUCGUAAAACCCUGUUGUUAGAGAAGAAAGUGCGUGAGAGUAACUGUUCACGUUUCGACGGUAUCUAACCAGAAAGCCACGGCUAACUACGUG